AACCAACAGACAGAAAGACACCAAAUUGACAAACUAAGAAUAAAAAAUUGACAAGACGGAUGUGCUUAACACGAAGUUUUCCCUAAGCAUGCAAUCCUAGGUUAACUGAUAUUAAUAUUGACUCAACAAAAACAAUUCAAAGCAAGCAAACAAAAUAGACACUUAAAACAGCAAGUAUUAAGUACAACUGUUUUGUGAAAAUACUACCCAAAUUUGCCCUAAACCUACC
rnacentral:lncRNA from 1 species